rnacentral:rRNA from 1 species
CCUACGGGUGGCAGCAGUGAGGAAUAUUGGUCAAUGGGCGGGAGCCUGAACCAGCCAAGCCGCGUGAGGGAAGAAGGUACAGCGUAUCGUAAACCUCUUUUGUCAGGGAACAAAGGCGGGGACUAGUCCCCGGAUGAGGGUACCUGAAGAAAAAGCAUCGGCUAACUCCGUGCCAGCAGCCGCGGUAAUACGGAGGAUCCAAGCGUUAUCCGGAUUUAUUGGGUUUAAAGGGUGCGUAGGCGGAUUGAUAAGUUAGAGGUGAAAUGUCCGAGCUUAACUCGGGAACUGCCUCUAAUACUGUUGAUCUAGAGAGUAGAUGCGGUAGGCGGAAUGUAUGGUGUAGCGGUGAAAUGCUUAGAUAUCACGAAGAACUCCGAUUGCGAAGGCAGCCUACUAAACUGCCACUGACAUUGAUGCUCGAAAGUGUGGGUAUCAAACAGGAUUAGAUACCCGAGUAGUC